GGGGCAUGAGUCACUGCCUGAGCUCUCUCGCCCCCCCUGUGCUUUGGGGUUACUCAAUCCUUCCCAGCAUGGAUGCAGUUGAGAAGCCACCUCCGUAGAUGGGGGUGCAGCUCAGCAGCCUGCAAACUCGGGACCUCAUUGGAGCCCAGGAGGCAGCCCGCAAACCAGCAAACCCGGGAUGGCUCACAGCCCAGGCCCUGCACCAGGUAGCAGACUGGGCGUAAAGAGGACCAUGCUCUCACACAAGCGUCUGCCCGACUUUAAGGCUCGAAGUUCAUCCACAGCAAGACACACGUCCUCAUUAUAUAGCCCACUGCUCAGGACUCGAUGCAUCACAUCCUGAUGGGAGGAAGCCAGGAAUAACAGGACACACCGUACGGUAAACACCCCACUCCUAAGUCCCUGGUCCCACACGCC